rnacentral:rRNA from 1 species
UACGGGGGGGCAAGCGUUGUUCGGAAUUACUGGGCGUAAAGGGCGCGUAGGCGGUUUGCUAAGUUGGAUGUGAAAACUCUGGGCUUAACCCAGAGCCUGCAUCCAAAACUGGCAAACUUGAGUACUGGAGGGGAAAGCGGAAUUCCUGGUGUAGCGGUGAAAUGCGUAGAUAUCGAGAGGAACACCGGUGGCGAAGGCGGCGAUCUGGACGAUGACUGACGCUGAGACGCGAAAGCGUGGGGAGCAAACAGG